rnacentral:rRNA from 1 species
UUUGCCUACGCCAUACCCCCCUGAAUGUGCCCAAUCUCAUCUGAUCUUGGAAGCUAGGCAGGGUCGGGCCUGGUUAGUACUUGGAUGGCAGAA